UGGCACCAGACAGUCUCGGUGGCAAGGUGU
rnacentral:piRNA from 1 species